CUUGCUCCCGGAUGUUAGCGGCGGACGGGUGAGUAACACGUGGGUAACCUGCCUGUAAGACUGGGAUAACUCCGGGAAACCGGAGCUAAUACCGGAUAGUUCCUUGAACCGCAUGGUUCAAGGAUGAAAGACGGUUUCGGCUGUCACUUACAGAUGGACCCGCGGCGCAUUAGCUAGUUGGUGAGGUAACGGCUCACCAAGGCGACGAUGCGUAGCCGACCUGAGAGGGUGAUCGGCCACACUGGGACUGAGACACGGCCCAGACUCCUACGGGAGGCAGCAGUAGGGAAUCUUCCGCAAUGGACGAAAGUCUGACGGAGCAACGCCGCGUGAGUGAUGAAGGUUUUCGGAUCGUAAAGCUCUGUUGUUAGGGAAGAACAAGUGCAAGAGUAACUGCUUGCACCUUGACGGUACCUAACCAGAAAGCCACGGCUAACUACGUGCCAGCAGCCGCGGUAAUACGUAGGUGGCAAGCGUUGUCCGGAAUUAUUGGGCGUAAAGGGCUCGCAGGCGGUUUCUUAAGUCUGAUGUGAAAGCCCCCGGCUCAACCGGGGAGGGUCAUUGGAAACUGGGAAACUUGAGUGCAGAAGAGGAGAGUGGAAUUCCACGUGUAGCGGUGAAAUGCGUAGAGAUGUGGAGGAACACCAGUGGCGAAGGCGACUCUCUGGUCUGUAACUGACGCUGAGGAGCGAAAGCGUGGGGAGCGAACAGGAUUAGAUACCCUGGGUAGUCCACGCCGUAGACGAUGAGUGCUAAGUGUUAGGGGGUUU
rnacentral:rRNA from 1 species